rnacentral:rRNA from 1 species
UACGGAGGGGGCAAGCGUUACUCGGAUUUACUGGGUGUAAAGGGUGCGUAGGCGGCCUGGAAAGUCAGAAGUGAAAUACUUCGGCUCAACCGAAGAGACGUUUCUGAAACUUCUGGGCUAGAGAGUCAAAGAGGAGAAUGGAACUGCCGGUGUAGGGGUGAAAUCCGUAGAUAUCGGCAGGAACACCAGCGGCGAAGGCGGUUCUCUGGUUGACUUCUGACGCUGAGGCACGAAAGCUAGGGGAGCAAACAGG